UACGAAGGGGGCUAGCGUUGCUCGGAAUUACUGGGCGUAAAGGGCGCGUAGGCGGACAGUUUAGUCAGAGGUGAAAGCCCAGGGCUCAACCUUGGAAUUGCCUUUGAUACUGGCUGUCUUGAGUUCGGGAGAGGUGAGUGGAAUGCCGAGUGUAGAGGUGAAAUUCGUAGAUAUUCGGCGGAACACCAGUGGCGAAGGCGACUCACUGGACCGUAACUGACGCUGAGGCGCGAAAAGCGUGGGGAGCAAACAGGG
rnacentral:rRNA from 1 species